rnacentral:tRNA from 1 species
GGCUGGAUAGCUCAGUUGGUAGAGCAGCGGACUGAAAAUCCGCGUGUCGCCGGUUCAAUUCCGGCUCCAGCCACCA